AUUGCAUGUGAUAACUUUAUGAAAUCCAGAGUGUCAACCGCGUUUGUGUUUUCCUUCGGUCGGCGUUUACCACUCAUUUCCAUCUCUCUUCUCUCUGUUUCCUCCCGUUUUUCCCUUUCCUCUAUCCAAACAAAUUUCACCUAAUCUUCCCGGCAAAAGACCCUAAUCCCAAUUUAACCACAAACCGUGUAGUCCGUGUGUCACCGUCCAGUACUACUCUCACCCAAGCAGGCUUAACUAAUGAGAUCCGGUGCGUACGCUGCAACUCUAAUAUAAGAUUGUGAGUCACCUAGGGAGGGGUUGUAGUAAUACAUGGAUCGAGCUGAACCUGGCAAUGCAUCGAUUGCCAGGAUUUUCUGCUUAUAAGAAGCGGGUCGACUCUAAGAAAAAACGCGCUGUUUCCUCCGUUAAUUCUAAGCCGAGGCUGGAGCGAUUGAAUGCACGGAAGGGUAUUAAAUACGAACCGUCUAUGAUUGAGUUUAGUAAGGAUAAUAAGAGUUUUCGAAUCGAAGGAAAAGGAGAGGUUGAGUUCCUUGAAUGUUUCGAGAAGUUAGGGUUUUCGGGUCCUGAUGAUUUUGCUAUACCUGCUGAUGAAUGGGAUGCUAUGAUUGUUCGUUCCUCCACGGAUAAUAAUCAUGUUGUUGAUGUUGCUAGUAACGUUAGCAGGGCAAUUGAUCUAGGUAAUAACAAAAGUAAGGAUAAUAUUCUUGGAUAUUAUGAUGAUAGUUGUAAAGCUAGUGAUGUAAUUCAGUCAGUUAAGUUAAAUGAUGAUAUUAGUGAUGUGUGUGAAACAAAUAGUAGAAUGAACGGAGUUGUUUUAAAUGGAAAUGAACCUGUAAGUUUACUUGGAUGUGGUGGUGGUGGAGGGAUUAGGGGUUUAAGGCCGCCGCCUUUUCUGGCUCCUCCACCGGUCAUGUCGCUGCCAAUAGUUGAUGGUUCAUGCUCUACUUGGGAUAUAUUUAAGGCAUUUGGCCCGGAAGAUCAUAGGGAAUCAGGGCUUUGUAGAUCUGAGGUUGUUAACGGCGAUGACCUAUGUAUUAAGAACGAGGAGGAUGAGGAGGAGGACAAUAGUACUAGGAGGAGAAUAAGAGAGACUAGCUUGCUUUCAGUAUCGAGUUCUUUCACCAAUACUUCGAACGAUGAUGACUCUUCCAGCAGCACGACAGAGCGUACGUCUAUCAUCUCACCGAAUGGGAGAUUCACGCGCUUCAUUACAGGAUGGGAAAAGGGUGAUCUCCUAGGACGUGGAUCAUUUGGAUCCGUUUAUGAAGGAAUUUCAGAUGAUGGUUUCUUUUUUGCUGUGAAGGAAGUGUCAUUACUUGAUCAAGGUGAUGGGGGAAGGCAAUGUCUAUCUCAACUCGAACAGGAGAUUGAACUUCUAAGUCGGUUCGAACACGAGAACAUAGUCCGAUAUUAUGGAACCGACAAGAAUGAUUCAAAAUUGUACAUCUUUCUUGAGCUGGUCCCACAAGGAUCUCUGUUGAAUCUUUACCAGAAGUAUCACCUUCGAGAUACACAAGUAUCCGCCUACACAAGGCAGAUUUUACGUGGUUUGAAGUAUUUGCAUGACCAAAAUGUGGUUCACAGAGAUAUUAAAUGCGCUAAUAUAUUGGUGGAUACUAAUGGAUCAGUCAAGCUUGCUGAUUUUGGCCUUGCAAAGGCUACUAAGUUGAAUGAUGUCAAGUCUUUCAAGGGUACUGCACUCUGGAUGGCUCCUGAGGUUGUGAACAGGAAGAACCAAGGUUAUGGACUUCCAGCUGAUAUAUGGAGCCUUGGCUGUACUGUCCUAGAGAUGCUUACUCGCAAGUUUCCUUACUCCCACUUAGAUAAUCCAAUGCAGGCACUGUUUAGGAUUGGAAAAGGGGAACCUCCAGCUGUCCCUAAUACCCUUUCGAUAGAUGCACGAGGUUUUAUUAACCACUGUCUGCAAGUGGAUCCUAGUGCUCGUCCAACUGCUUCUCAGCUCUUGGAGCAUCCGUUUGUAAAACGAACACUUCCCUCUUCCUCAGGCUCAGCUUCUCCUCUCAAUCUAGGCAGGAGGCUUUGAAAUCUUGUUCUGACAAGGAUGGAUGGAGAUCAUGUCUACCUAAUUCACAUUCAAAAUGUUGGAUCUGGAAGAAUAUAAUCAGAUCAGUUCUUCCCAUUGGAUCCUCAAAAUUUUGGUGAAAAGUAAUCUGCACGCGCUCCCAGAAUCUGUAUUUGAACUCCGAGUUCAGCUAUUUGUUGUUUUGAAACCACGUUGAAGCUGUUUGCAGUUGUGGUCAAUGCCUUUGCUGCAGUGUAAUUUUGAGCCCCCACCCCCAUCAUUCUUUCCGCCUUCCAGACGUCUCUCUUCCACCCCACUAUGGGAGGAAGAAGAGGUCAGGUUUUGUGGUGUAUAUGCAGUUCAAUUCAUAGUUGAGUGCUUGAGCCGGUAUGGGAUGUAAAGAUAGAUGACCCAUUUGAAAUGUAUAUAUCACGAGAAGAGGCCCAGUUGCUUUCUUCCUCUCUUUCUUGUUUC